rnacentral:rRNA from 1 species
GGGUUCGAUCAUACCAGCGUUAAUGCUCCGGAUCCCCUCAGAACUCCGCAGUUAAGCGCGCUUGGGCUAGAGUAGUACUGGGAUGGGUGACCUCCCGGGAGGUGCUGGUGUUGCACCCU